AUUCCAUUGUGAUGACAUUGCCUUAACAACUUCUUGAAUCUUUCUCAAUCAUCAAAUAAUGAUUUAUCAUCUCCUUGUCUAAAUGAGGUAAUCUCAUUUCUAAUCUU